CCUACGGGUGGCAGCAGUGGGGAAUAUUGGGCAAUGGGCGCAAGCCUGACCCAGCAACGCCGCGUGAAGGAAGAAGGCUUUCGGGUUGUAAACUUCUUUUCUCAGGGACGAAGAAAGUGACGGUACCUGAGGAAUAAGCCACGGCUAACUACGUGCCAGCAGCCGCGGUAAUACGUAGGUGGCAAGCGUUAUCCGGAUUUACUGGGUGUAAAGGGCGUGUAGGCGGGAAAGCAAGUCAGAUGUGAAAACCAUGGGCUCAACCUGUGGCCUGCAUUUGAAACUGUUUUUCUUGAGUACUGGGGAGGCAGACGGAAUUCCUGGUGUAGCGGUGAAAUGCGUAGAUAUUAGGAGGAACACCAGUGGCGAAGGCGGUCUGCUGGACAGCAACUGACGCUGAGGCGCGAAAGCGUGGGGAGCAAACAGGAUUAGAUACCCGUGUAGUC
rnacentral:rRNA from 1 species